CCCUAUUAUUGAAAAGAAAACAACAAUUGGAGAGUAAGAUAAAACUGAAAACUAUCCAGAAUGGCGGUUUUUUUUUUGUUCAGAAAGAUGUGUUUUUAAAACGAAACUGCACGAAAAUCUUUCUUGUUUUUGAACAUUCAUCCUGUUCACCGCCGUCUGAAGGGUAAAGAAAAUAAUUUAAUCCUAUCCCCUUUGUUCGGGAAUAAGUCAGGUAAGGUGCAGAUUAUAAACAAGACUAAAUGCAUUUCACUAAGAAAAAUCAAGGUUAAGUUUGAAAAGAGCUUACCCAAGAAGAAUUGAAAGUAAAGGUUUUUUAUUAAAAAGCCUUGAAUUAAAUACAAAAAAAAUGUACACAUCGCCC
rnacentral:rRNA from 1 species